rnacentral:tRNA from 1 species
UAAUAAGAAGCUAACAGCACUCAGUUUCGACCUGAAAGUAUGGUAAAAUACCCUUAUUAU